AAACAAGGGAAUAAAAGCAGGCCACAGGCUCCAAGAGAGGUAAUCCGCGGGGGUCCGCUUCCACGCUGUGGGGGCUUUGUUGUUUUGCACUUUGCAAUAUAUCUUGCAGCUGCUGGCUCUUUGGGUCCGCACUACCUUUAUGAGCUGUAAAAUCGCUGUGAAGGUUUGCAGCUUCACUCCUGAAGCUAACGAAACCAGGAGUCCACCCGGAGGAGCAAACGACUGUGGACGAGCCGCCUGUGCGAGCUGUAACCUUCACCCCGAGGGUCUGCGGGUUCACUCCUGGAGUCAGCCAGACCACGAACCCACCGGAAGGAAGAAACUCCGGUCGCAUCUGAACAUCUGAAGGAACAAGCUGGACUCACCGUCCUUAAGAAGAGAUCGCACAGAGCUUGAUAUUGAAGAGUGAACCAUGUUCAAGGAAGAAGAAAUCACCCCAUAAAAACCUUCCAGCUUGUGUUACAAUCGGAUGCCUCUAAGAUGGAAAAAAAGGCACACAGAGAUCUUCCCUACUCAGGUUCUGGUCAAAUCUUUCUCCACUUAAUGGAGCAUGGCUUCCAACUGCACCUGGAGCAUGUUUGUAAACAAUGCCAUCAGGGAUAAAAGUGUUUGAAGCUGAAGCUGGGGCUGCCAUCCAAACGUGGAAAGCGUGCCAGAGGACUGUCUUUCCCGGGCCCGCUCCACCUGCACGCCACAGAGACGAAGCUCAGCUCCGGGAUAAGAGGAAAAAGCACUGCCUGAACCUGUCCACCAGCAAAGGGACACUGCUCUGCAUAAACAGACAGAGAGGCAGGCACCUCAAGGGACUCGCAGAAGUGCCUGGAUAUUUUUAAGUACUUGAGGAAAACACAAUGAUGCCUGUCAAACACCUCAGGAACUGCUAGCGCCAGGUAAAUCGGUUUUAACAUUAGGUUGCUAAAUUUCCUUCCAUGACGUCAUAUCUUUGCAAAGCUUGGUUUUUGGUGACUGCUGUGAUAGCUGUGGGGGAAAAAGUGAUAUGUCCUAUCUGAUUCCAAGGUUUUAUAUAUUGCUAGUGCCCAACUGAUGCACCUACAUACCAUUAGUAAGUAUUGUGGUUAUUUAAUAAUACAAUAAAAUAUGAUUUAUUUUCUUUCAAUUUGUACAUACUAUUUUUUACCCAGCUACUAAGUUGUUAGGACAUAAAUACUUAUUAAGGUAGUUGGACCCAACAAGGUCAUAAACAGAAUUAUGAGGUAUUUCUUGUGGCCUCAGGGCCCUGUGAAUAAGAUUACUAAGACAUUAGGGUGCUGUGAACUGAAAAUGUUUAGGAACCGCUGAACUAAACCAUUCACAGGGGCGAGCUGGUUUAUUCCUCUCAAACAUCUUACAAUCAUUUCAAGGCUGGGCAUGAUCACUCACAACUGUAAUCCCAGCCCUUAGGGAAACUGAGGUGAGAGGAUCGCUUGAGGCCAGGAGUUCGAGGCCAGCCUGAGAAACGUAGUGAGACCACAGUCUCCACACACAAAAAGUAAAAAUCAGCUGGGUGUGAUGGCGCACGCCCGUAGUCCUAGCUACUUGGGGAGCUGAGG